rnacentral:lncRNA from 1 species
UCAUUGAAUAUCAAUUUCAACAAUUACAUUGAAAAAUAUCAUAAAUCUCUUAUUAAAUCUCCCGUCAAAUAUUAUUAAUUAUGCAAUAAUAUUUUACGCUAAGGUUAUCAACCUUUUAAUUACAUUCCAAUCAAAUACUACUAAUAAUAUCUCACUACAAUACUAUUAGUCAUAUAAAAAAAAAUCUUAAGUCAUUAAUCACAUAAAUAAACAAUUAUUUCAAUUGUUUUCCUUUUUAAUAAAUAACUUGCUUAAGCAUUCUAAAAUGCUAUAAACAUUACAACACUUUAAACCCGACCCAAAGCUUCAUUACAAACUUGCAUAAGCCAUGCUCACGGGUCUCACUUCAUACAUCGCAUUUUUCCUAUUUUUGGACACUUUUGAUUUUCGAAAUAUUUUACCCAGCCUCACUAAAACAGCCAUAACUCUCGCGUUUUAAAACAUUUUUGAGCGAUUCUUGAGCCCACGCGAAGAUAACUUCCAGGGCUACAACUUUUGUCUCAC